AAGGGAACAUGAGGCAACUUUUGUGGUGAUGGUAUUUUUUUGUAUUUUCUGUCUCAGGAAAUUGUCCUUUUCACCUAAAUUUUUGAAUAUCUUGGCAUGAGAGCCCAAGUAGAGUGCAGAAUCACCUGGGUUCAGACGAUUCUCGUGCCUCAGCCUCCGGAGCAGCUGGGAUUACAGGUAAUUUACAUCGACUGCAUCUGUAUGGUGAAAAUAUAGUAUAAUGGGGUGCUGCUGUGAAUCUCCUUCCAAUUCUGCAUUCUGUGAUAUCAUAGUGGUAACCUGAAAUCCACCAUAGUGGGGACAUUUACACAAUAACUGGCAAAUGCUACAAGGCUGGGCUUUUUCAGUUUUGUUGAUUGUCUGGACAUAAAAAGGUAAUACAGAAAAUGUUACCAAUACAAGCAUUUGGGAAAAAUAAACUAAAACCUUUUGUGAAAAACAACAGGUUUUAUGGAAUUUACAAUAAAUAAUACUGUAUAUUUUAUUAUUUAUAAAUUCUGUGCUACACAUUCUUCAUAUCAGUAAAACUUAGAACAUAUAUAUGUAUCCAUACAUUUUGUUUUCUAGAAAGCCACUGGUUGAACAUUAACCAGCACACUACUGGAGUCUCUACCCACAAAGGUAGUAUAGGUGGGCAAGGAGUCAAUUCUCUGUGAGACUCCUGGGGGAGUCACUGACUUAGUACAUCAAGAGUAGUGCUGUGAUUUUAAAAUAUGUCCACAAAUUCUUUGAUACAUCUCCUAUCUAAAGACAGGCCCUGAUUUUCCUCCCCAUGAAUGUGAGCUGUACCUAACGACUAAUGAAUGUGGUGGAAGUAACCGUGUUAGACUUCUAAGGCUAAUUCAUAAAAGACAGUGUGGGCUCUGUCUUACCCUCUUUUGGACUGCUUACUUUGGGGAAAGCCAGUGGCCAUGCCAUGAGGACACUCGAACAUCUAUGAAGAGGUCCCACAUGGUGUGGAUAAGGACUCCUGCAACGGCCAUUUUGGACCUAGAUUCUCCUGCCCCAGACAGGGCUUCAAAUGACUGGGGUCCCAGCAGACAUCUUGACUGCAACUUCACAGGAGACUCUGGAGCCAG
rnacentral:lncRNA from 10 species